CACGGAUCCAGAGUUUGAUCCUGGCUCAGGACGAACGCUGGCGGCGUGCCUAAUACAUGCAAGUCGAACGCUUCUUUUUCCACCGGAGCUUGCUCCACCGGAAAAAGAGGAGUGGCGAACGGGUGAGUAACACGUGGGUAACCUGCCCAUCAGAAGGGGAUAACACUUGGAAACAGGUGCUAAUACCGUAUAACAAUCGAAACCGCAUGGUUUUGAUUUGAAAGGCGCUUUCGGGUGUCGCUGAUGGAUGGACCCGCGGUGCAUUAGCUAGUUGGUGAGGUAACGGCUCACCAAGGCGACGAUGCAUAGCCGACCUGAGAGGGUGAUCGGCCACAUUGGGACUGAGACACGGCCCAAACUCCUACGGGAGGCAGCAGUAGGGAAUCUUCGGCAAUGGACGAAAGUCUGACCGAGCAACGCCGCGUGAGUGAAGAAGGUUUUCGGAUCGUAAAACUCUGUUGUUAGAGAAGAACAAGGAUGAGAGUAACUGUUCAUCCCUUGACGGUAUCUAACCAGAAAGCCACGGCUAACUACGUGCCAGCAGCCGCGGUAAUACGUAGGUGGCAAGCGUUGUCCGGAUUUAUUGGGCGUAAAGCGAGCGCAGGCGGUUUCUUAAGUCUGAUGUGAAAGCCCCCGGCUCAACCGGGGAGGGUCAUUGGAAACUGGGAGACUUGAGUGCAGAAGAGGAGAGUGGAAUUCCAUGUGUAGCGGUGAAAUGCGUAGAUAUAUGGAGGAACACCAGUGGCGAAGGCGGCUCUCUGGUCUGUAACUGACGCUGAGGCUCGAAAGCGUGGGGAGCAAACAGGAUUAGAUACCCUGGUAGUCCACGCCGUAAACGAUGAGUGCUAAGUGUUGGAGGGUUUCCACCCUUCAGUGCUGCAGCUAACGCAUUAAGCACUCCGCCUGGGGAGUACGACCGCAAGGUUGAAACUCAAAGGAAUUGACGGGGGCCCGCACAAGCGGUGGAGCAUGUGGUUUAAUUCGAAGCAACGCGAAGAACCUUACCAGGUCUUGACAUCCUUUGACCACUCUAGAGAUAGAGCUUCCCCUUCGGGGGCAAAGUGACAGGUGGUGCAUGGUUGUCGUCAGCUCGUGUCGUGAGAUGUUGGGUUAAGUCCCGCAACGAGCGCAACCCUUAUUGUUAGUUGCCAUCAUUUAGUUGGGCACUCUAGCAAGACUGCCGGUGACAAACCGGAGGAAGGUGGGGAUGACGUCAAAUCAUCAUGCCCCUUAUGACCUGGGCUACACACGUGCUACAAUGGGAAGUACAACGAGUCGCAAAGUCGCGAGGCUAAGCUAAUCUCUUAAAGCUUCUCUCAGUUCGGAUUGUAGGCUGCAACUCGCCUACAUGAAGCCGGAAUCGCUAGUAAUCGCGGAUCAGCACGCCGCGGUGAAUACGUUCCCGGGCCUUGUACACACCGCCCGUCACACCACGAGAGUUUGUAACACCCGAAGUCGGUGAGGUAACCUUUUGGAGCCAGCCGCCUAAGGUGGGAUAGAUGAUUGGGGUGAAGUCGUAACAAGGUAGCCGUAAGCUUCAC
rnacentral:rRNA from 1 species